CAGUAGCCGCGGUAAUACGAAGGGGGCUAGCGUUGUUCGGAAUCACUGGGCGUAAAGCGCACGUAGGCGGACUUUUAAGUCAGGGGUGAAAUCCCAAGGCUCAACCUUGGAACUGCCCUUGAUACUGGAAGUCUUGAGUUCGGGAGAGGUGAGUGGAACUGCGAGUGUAGAGGUGAAAUUCGUAGAUAUUCGCAAGAACACCAGUGGCGAAGGCGGCUCACUGGCCCGAUACUGACGCUGAGGUGCGAAAGCGUGGGGAGCAAACAGGAUUAGAUACCCGAGUAGUCCCUGUCUCUUAUAC
rnacentral:rRNA from 1 species